AUCCCAAAUUCACAACCGCCUUCCUUCGCCCGGUCCUCGGGACCGCACUUUUCCCUCUUUGGACGAUGCCGCCUCCUCAACCUUGAAAGACCCCUCACAGGCCCCUUCCGAGACCCUCAGAGUCCCUAAAAGGGCUGCUGACACGCCCGCUGUUCUUAGCGGACAGUGAUUGGCUACCUGAAAGAUAGCGCCAGCCUCCUGCCUCUUCUCCCGACCCUGGCCUUCCGCAGUCCUUGUUUCCCAUUAGCCGGCCGUCCCGCUUGUCCGCUGCUGACCUGGUCUGAUUGGUAGGGUGCCUCCAACCUGCCGCAUUCCUGCCCCGCUCACUUCUAGCUCUAUUUCAAUUGGAUUUAGGACACGCCAUCUACUGUGCCUUCAUCUCUAUUGGCUAUCUCAACUUAAAGCUCUGCCUCCUCAGGCCUGUUCGACCUUCCUUCGAAACCACCCCAGCCUGCGAAUUCCCAUUGGUUGCUGGGCCUCUGUGUGUUCUUGCCCCUCCUGCUUGAUUUAACCCAGUCCCUUCUGCCUCCCUCCGACAACCUUUUUCCCAUCCGUAGCCUUAAAUUCCCGAGCUGCCCGGGCGGAUCGUAGUGUUGAUUGGAGGGAUGAGAAUACCCGCCGGGUCCGAUUGGCCACUGUCUCCGUCUGCGUUCUCGGAGUAGCUUCCCUGCGGGUGGGCUGGAGUUCGGCGGCCGGCGUAGGGCGCGGCCCGGCAGGGCGGUGGGAGCCUCCCCGGGGCUGCUCGUGUUGCAGCUUGGGAUGAUCCUGGCGGAACGCAGGACCCCAACUCCCAAACCUGCGGACCAUGACCACGGACGAGCCCUGUCCCGGCUCCCCACGUGCCCCAGGGGGACCAGAGCAGGCAGGACGCCUUCCAAGUUUUCAAGGGCCGCUGGUUGCCUACGCUUCGUCCCCUUGUUUCUUGAACAACCGUUAGGGACCAGGGGUACCCCUCAGGGAGGCCACAGUCCGGGGCUGGGGCGCUCACUGAUGCAGUGAUCACACAUGCAGAGAAGACUCGAAAACCAGUUAAAGAACAGUCAGUGGGGCCCGGCCUUGUAGCUCACACCUUUAAUACCACCACUUUGGGAGGCCGCGG